UCCCUGGAGGACUAGUGGUUAGGCCUCUGUGCUCUCACCGCUGCAGCCUGGAUUCGAUUCCCGGCCAGGGAA
rnacentral:tRNA from 1 species